AUUGAACGCUGGCGGCAGGCCUAACACAUGCGAGUCGAACGGUAACAGGAAGCAGCUUGCUGCUUCGCUGACGAGUGGCGGACGGGUGAGAAAUGUCUGGGAAGCUGCCUGAUGGAGGGGGAUAACUACUGGAAACGGUAGCUAAUACCGCAUAAUGUCGCAAGACCAAAGAGGGGGACCUUCGGGCCGCUUGCCAUCGGAUGUGCCCAGAUGGGAUUAGCUUGUUGGUGGGGUAACGGCUAACCAAGGAGACGAUCCCUAGCUGGUCUGAGAGGAUGACCAGCCACACUGGAACUGAGACACGGUCCAGACUCCUACGGGAGGCAGCAGUGGGGAAUAUUGCACAAUGGGCGCAAGCCUGAUGCAGCCAUGCCGCGUGUAUGAAGAAGGCCUUCGGGUUGUAAAGUACUUUCAGCGGGGAGGAAGGGAGUAAAGUUAAUACCUUUGCUCAUUGACGUUACCCGCAGAAGAAGCACCGGCUAACUCCGUG
rnacentral:rRNA from 1 species